rnacentral:rRNA from 1 species
UACAGAGGGUGCAAGCGUUGUUCGGAAUUAUUGGGCGUAAAGCGCGUGUAGGCGGCUUUGCAAGUCGGGUGUGAAAGCCCUCGGCCCAACCGAGGAACUGCGCCCGAGACUGCUUCUCUUGAGUCCCGGAGAGGAAGAUGGAAUUCCCGGUGUAGCGGUGAAAUGUGUAGAGAUCGGGAGGAACACCGGUGGCGAAGGCGGUCUUCUGGACGGUGACUGACGCUGAGGCGCGAAAGCGUGGGGAGCAAACGGG